rnacentral:rRNA from 1 species
CACCNGUGGCGAAAGCGGCUCUCUGGUCUGUCACUGACGCUGAGGCUCGAAAGCGUGGGUAGCGAACAGGAUUAGAUACCCUGGUAGUCCACGCCGUAAACGAUGAGUGCUAGGUGUUAGGCCCUUUCCGGGGCUUAGUGCCGGAGCUAACGCAAUAAGCACUCCGCCUGGGGAGUACGACCGCAAGGUUGAAACUCAAAGGAAUUGACGGGGGCCCGCACAAGCGGUGGAGCAUGUGGUUUAAUUCGAAGCAACGCGAAGAACCUUACCAGGUCUUGACAUCCCGAUGCUAUUCUUAGAGAUAGGAAGUUACUUCGGUACAUCGGAGACAGGUGGUGCAUGGUUGUCGUCAGCUCGUGUCGUGAGAUGUUGGGUUAAGUCCCGCAACGAGCGCAACCCUUAUUGUUAGUUGCCAUCAUUAAGUUGGGCACUCUAGCGAGACUGCCGGUAAUAAACCGGAGGAAGGUGGGGAUGACGUCAAAUCAUCAUGCCCCUUAUGACCUGGGCUACACACGUGCUACAAUGGUCGGUACAACGAGUUGCGAGCCGGUGACGGCAAGCUAAUCUCUGAAAGCCGAUCUCAGUUCGGAUUGGAGGCUGCAACUCGCCUCCAUGAAGUCGGAAUCGCUAGUAAUCGCGGAUCAGCACGCCGCGGUGAAUACGUUCCCGGGCCUUGUACACACACCGCCCGUCACACCACGAGAGUUUGUAACACCCGAAGUCGGUGAGGUAACCUUUUAGGGGCCAGCCGC